UGGGGAAUUUUGCGCAAUGGGGGAAACCCUGACGCAGCAACGCCGCGUGGACGAUGAAGCAUCUUGGUGUGUAAAGUCCUUUCGGCAGGGACGAAUAAAUUGACGGUACCUGCAGAAGAAGCCCCGGCUAACUCCGUGCCAGCAGCCGCGGUAAUACGGGGGGGGCGAGCGUUGUUCGGAAUUAUUGGGCGUAAAGGGCGCGUAGGCGGUGUGGCAAGUCAGGUGUGAAACCUCCAGGCUCAACUUGGAGCUUGCAUCUGAAACUGCCGUGCUAGAGUGUGGGAGAGGAGAGUGGAAUUCCUGGUGUAGCGGUGAAAUGCGUAGAUAUCAGGAGGAACACCGGUGGCGAAGGCGGCUCUCUGGACCACAACUGACGCUGAGGCGCGAAAGCUAGGGGAGCAAACAG
rnacentral:rRNA from 1 species